GACGAACGCUGGCGGCGUGCUUAACACAUGCAAGUCGAACGCUGAAGCUCAGCUUUUGUUGGGUGGAUGAGUGGCGAACGGGUGAGUAACACGUGAGUAACCUGCCUCCUUCUUUGGGAUAACGCCCGGAAACGGGUGCUAAUACUGGAUAUUCACUGGUCUUCGCCUGGGGGUUGGUGGAAAGGGUUUUUCUGGUGGGGGAUGGGCUCGCGGCCUAUCUGCUUGUUGUUGGGGUGAUGGCCUACCAAGGCUUUGACGGGUAGCCGGCCUGAGAGGGUGACCGGGAACAUUGGGACUGAGAUACGGCCCAGACGACUACGGGAGGGAGCAGUGGGGAAUAUUGCAGAAUGGGCGCAAGCGUGAUGCAGCGACGCCGAGGGAGGGAUGGAGGCCUUCGGGUUGUGAACCUAUGUCGCUCAAGGUCAAGCCGCAACAAUGGUUGUGGUGAGGGUAGUGGGUAAAGAAGCGACGGCUAACUACGUG
rnacentral:rRNA from 1 species